rnacentral:lncRNA from 1 species
AAAAAAUUAGUGCCAUUUUUCUUAAACUUAAGUGUUGAUAGUUAUCAGGAAUUUCUUCUGACACAAGACUGCAGUUCCUGGGCUUGUUCUAUUUUUGUAAGUGUGUGAUGUUCUUUUAUGAAAGUUACUGCAGAGCUGAUUUUUACAGCACUAUUUAUUGCAUUUGUGGAAACUGGGGAGCAGAGUUAGUGAAGCAGAUUGUCAGUGCUGUUCUGGGUAUAACUAAGUACAGAAUUCCAAAAUUACAGUAUUUUGAUGAUAUAAGUUUAAUAACCAGAACAAUAGCAAACUUUGAGGAAUCAGCAUAAGACUAGAGUACAAAAAGAAGCAAUCAAAAAUGUGUUUAAUGAAUUUGACUGAAGAGAAAAAGAAAGUAAAACAAAUCUUUUCCCUACGUGAGAAACAAGUGGCUGUUUCCAAUGGCACAGCUCUCCAAGCCAGAUAUCUAUAUGCUGAUCAAGGUCCAUGAAACAGUGGUGCUGAUGUGGAUUCCUGAGGCUCUGAGACAGGACAACCAGUUGCACAGGAGUCUGGCAUUCAUUUUAUCUGCUAGAUUUACAGACAACAUUGAAAAAUGUUUUAUAAAAUGGGUUUUGUUAUGGCCUGAAGAUGCAGCUUAUCACAGGUGUACGCUGCACCCAGGCUGUGCUGCAACUAAGGAACCGGGGAUACGGCCUCUGUGUGUUUCAGAGACAUAUAUUGAAAAGGUGUUACUGAUGCAGUUAACAGAGCAAAUAGGAUCUGCUGUACUUGUGAUGAUGGCUUUGACAUUCAUUUGA